UACGUAGGGUGCAAGCGUUGUCCGGAAUUAUUGGCGUAAAGAGCUCGUAGGCGGUCUGUCGCGUCGGCUGUGAAAUCCCGAGGCUCAACCUCGGGUCUGCAGUCGAUACGGGCAAACUAGAGUAUUGCAGGGGAGACUGGAAUUCCUGGUGUAGCGGUGAAAUGCGCAGAUAUCAGGAGGAACACCGGUGGCGAAGGCGGGUCUCUGGGCAGUAACUGACGCUGAGGAGCGAAAGCGGUGGGAGCAAACAGG
rnacentral:rRNA from 1 species